UACGUAGGGGGCAAGCGUUGUCCGGAUUUAUUGGGCGUAAAGCGCGUGUAGGCGGCCAGGUAGGUCCGCUGUGAAAACCCGAGGCUCAACCUCGGGACGUCGGCGGAAACCAUUUGGCUAGAGUCCGGAAGAGGAGAGUGGAAUUCCUGGUGUAGCGGUGAAAUGCGCAGAUAUCAGGAAGAACACCCGUGGCUAAGGCGGCUCUCUAGUACGGUACUGACGCUGAGACGCGAAAGCGUGGGGAGCGAACAGG
rnacentral:rRNA from 1 species